CGGAGGAAGGGCCGGAGUCGACAAUAACAAACCGCGGCGACCGAGUCCGCGGCCCUGCCGAGCCCGGUGCUGCCUCGGGCGUCCCUGUCGCCUGGCCCCUCGGCUCUGACCGGCCGCGGUCCGCCCUCCCCGGCCCCCGACGCAGAGCCGGGGGGCCCCGCCAGCGUCCUCGCCGCCCGGAGGUGGCGGCCGCGGCAGCCCCGGCACCGGCGGUUGUGUCGGUUGGCGGCGCCGAUGGGCGGUUGGUAGCCGCCGCCGAGAACGAGGCGGCGGCGGAAGAUGUUGCCGGGGGCCGCGGGCCCUGCUGCUGAGGCCGGCGGAGGAGGAGGUGCUGCCCGUUCACUGAGUUUAACCAGUAAUGCCGUUUGGUUGCCAAUAUCAAGCAAAGCAAACAAAAGCCAGUUUUCAUCUGCUUUUUAAGAAAAGUGGUAGUCCUUUUCUCAGUGCCUGACCUGACCAUAUCCGAGUGUGAGGCGCAGGCUCACAGAAUCAGGGAAUCAUCAUGAAGUUGUAUGUGUUUCUGGUUAACACUGGGACCACCCUGACAUUUGACACUGAACUUACAGUGCAAACUGUGGCGGACCUCAAGCAUGCCAUCCAUAGCAAGUACAAGAUUGCGGCCCAGCACCAGGUGCUCGUGGUCAACGGAGGGGAGUGCAUGGCUGCCGAUCGGAGGGUGUGCACCUACAGCGCUGGGACGGAUACAAAUCCAAUUUUUCUUUUUAACAAAGAAAUGAUCUUAUCUGAACGUCUACCUGCUAUUCCUAAAACUACCUUUUCAACAGAAAAUGACAUGGAAAUAAAAGUUGAAGAGUCCCUUAUGAUGCCUGCAGUUUUUCACACUGUCGCUUCAAGGACACAACUUGCAGUGGAAAUGUAUGAAGUUGCCAAGAAACUUUGCUCUUUCUGUGAAGGUCUGGUCCAUGAUGAACAUCUUCAACAUCAAGGCUGGGCUGCAAUCAUGGCCAAUCUGGAGGAUUGCUCAAAUUCAUACCAAAAGCUGCUUUUCAAAUUUGAAAGUAUUUAUUCAAAUUAUCUGCAGUCUGUAGAAGACAUCAAGUUGAAACUUACUCAUUUAGGAACUGCAGUUUCAGUGAUGGCCAAGAUUCCGCUGUUGGAGUGCCUGACCAGACACAGCUAUAGAGAGUGUUUGGGAAGAUUGGAUUCCCUGCCUGAACACGAAGGCUCAGAAGAGGCGGAGACGAAGACUUCUGCUGACCUGGUGCUGUCUCCUGAGAUGCCUGCAACACCGAUCAAACCCUUGUCAACCUCGUGUCUGAAGGCAGCGGAACAUGUAGCCCCAGAAGCCACGGAUGCUGAAAGUGGAAAAGAAAUUAGGGAGUCUGGUCAAAAUACUGCCCAGCUGGACGAAACUUCAGUAGAUGCUAAAGACGGCGAUCUGCCUUUUUUCAAUGUUUCUCUGUUAGACUGGAUCAAUGUUCAGGACAGGCCUAAUGAUGUGGAAUCCUUGGUCAGGAAAUGCUUUGAUUCCAUGAGCAGGCUUGAUCCACGGAUUAUUCGACCCUUUAUAGCAGAAUGUCGUCAAACUAUCGCCAAUCUCGAUAAUCAGAACAUGAAAGCCAUCAAAGGGCUGGAAGACCGGCUGUACGCCCUGGACCAGAUGAUCGCCAGCUGUGGGCGACUCGUCAACGAACAGAAAGAGCUCGCUCAGGGAUUUUUAGCUAACCAGAUGAGAGCUGAAAACUUGAAGGAUGCAUCUGUAUUACCUGAUUUGUGCCUGAGUCAUGCAAAUCAGUUGAUGAUUAUGUUGCAAAAUCAUAGAAAACUGUUGGAUAUUAAACAGAAGUGUACCACUGCCAAACAAGAACUAGCAAAUAACCUUCAUGUCAGACUGAAGUGGUGUUGCUUUGUGAUGCUUCACGCUGAUCAGGACGGGGAGAAGUUGCAGGCUUUGCUCCGCCUGGUUAUGGAGCUCUUGGAAAGAGUCAGGAUUGUUGAGGCUCUGAGUACAGUCCCUCAGAUGUACUGCCUCGCUGUUGUGGAGGUGGUCAGGAGGAAAAUGUUCAUUCAACACUACAGGGAGUGGGCUGGUGCUUUAGUCAGAGACGGGAAGCGAUUAUAUGAGGCCGAAAAGUCAAAAAGGGAAUCCUUUGGGAAAUUAUUUAGGAAGUCUUUUUUGAGAAAUCGUCUCUUUAGGGGCUUGGACUCCUGGCCCCCGUCCUUUUGUACACAGAAGCCUAGAAAGUUUGACUGUGAACUUCCAGAUAUUUCAUUAAAAGAUUUACAGUUUCUGCAAUCAUUUUGUCCUUCUGAAGUUCAGCCGUUUCUCAGGGUGCCCUUACUUUGUGACUUUGAACCUCUGCACCAGCACGCACUUGCUCUGCAUAACUUGGUGAAGGCAGCACAAAGUUUGGAUGAGAUGUCGCAGACCAUUACAGAUCUACUGAGUGAACAAAAGGCGUCCGUGAGUCAGACGACCCCCCAGUCGGCCUCCUCGCCCCGGGUAGAAAGUGCGACAGGAAUGACAACUACUACCUCACCCAGAACUCCUCCGCCACUCGAUGUUCAGGACCCCUUAUGUCCUGCAGUCUGUCCCUUAGAAGAGCUGUCCCCAGAUAGCAUCGAUGCACAUACAUUUGAUUUUGAAACCAUCCCCCACCCAAACAUAGAGCAAACUCUUCACCAAGCUUCAUUAGACUUGGAUUCCUUAGCAGAGAGUCCCGAAUCGGAUUUUAUGUCUGCUGUGAAUGAGUUUGUAAUAGAAGAAAAUCUAUCAUCUCCCAAUCCUAUCAGUGAUCCUCAAAGUCCAGAAAUGAUGGUGGAGUCUCUUUACUCAUCAGUCAUCAAUGCGAUAGACAGCAGGCGGAUGCAGGAUACAAAUACGUGUGGUCAGGAGGACGCGGGCGGCCGGGCGUCUCUCAGCGUCCAGCUGGAGAAGUGCCGAGUCACUGCCCACGACUCGCACCUCAGUAUACAAACCAUCAAGGAGGACCUUUGCCACUUCCGCACAUUUGUACAGAAAGAACAGGGUGAUUUCUCAAAUUCGUUAAAGUGUACAGCAGUUGAAAUAAGAAACAUUAUUGAAAAGGUAAAACAUUCUUUGGAAAUAACACUAAAUGAAAACCAUCAAAGAGAGCUACAGUCUUUAAAAAGUGACUAUGAAGGCAGACUUGCUGCCCUGGUAAAGGAGAGUGAAGAAAGUGAAAACAGAAUCACACAGCUGAAAGGAGACUUAGCAUGCCUUGAGGAGGUUUUACAAAAUAAAGAUAACGAAUUCGCUUUGGUUAAACACGAGAAAGAAGUGGUGGUCGGCCUGCAGAAUGAGAAGGAUCAGAAGCUGCUGGCGAUGGAAGGGCUCCUGCGCACGCAGCAUGGUGAGAUCGAGGGGCUGAAGCAGUCCCGGGAGAUGGCGCUGGAGGACUUAGAGAGGCUGCGCGAGGAGCAUGAGGCCAGGAUGCAGCUGCUGAGGGCGGAGCUCCAGCGCUCGGAGCAGAGCCACCUGAAGGAGCUGGAGGACACGCUGCAGGCCAGGCACACUCAGGAGCUGGAGAGGUCCCUGGCCGACCACAGGGUGUGCCUUGAGAAGCUGGAGAAGGAGAACCAGCAGAGACUGGAGCAGGUGCAAAACUCUCAUGCUGCAGUCAUCCAGGAGAGAGAACAGCAGCUUCAGGAGUUAAAACUCAAGGUUUCUGAUUUGUCGGACAUGAGGUGUAAGUUAGAGGUUGAGCUUGCCUUGAAGGAAGCAGAAACUGACGAAAUAAAACUAUUGCUGGAGGAAAGCAGAGCCCAACAGAAGGAGACCCUGAAAUCUCUCCUUGAACAAGAGACAGAAUACUUGAGAUCAGAGAUAAGUAAACUAAACCAGAAGAUUCAAGAUCAUAAUGAACAUUAUCAGGUGGGCUUGGCAGAGCUGAGAACUUUGAUGACAAUUGAAAAGGAUGAGUGCAUUUCAGAGUUAAUCACUAGGCACGAAGGGGAAUCUACUAUGCUGAGAGCAGAAUUGAGCAAAGUGACGUCAUUGCAUCACCAUGCAUUGGAAAUAGAAAAAAGCCUGAGAGAAGAGUUAGCUGAACUGCAGAGGAAGUUGGACUCAGAACUGAGUGCUCUUGAAAAACAAAAAGAUGAGAAAAUCAUCCAACAAGAGGAGAAGUACGAAGCUAUCAUCCAGAAGCUUGAGAAAGACAAAGAGGAGUUUGUCAUUCGACAGGAACAGGAUAGAGAACUGCUAAUUCAGAAGCUUAAUUGCGAAAAGGCAAAAGCAGCAGACAUUGAGGCUGCCCUGAAAGAAUUUAACUUGGAAAGAGAAGCUGUUGAGAAAGAGUUAUUAGAAAGAGUUAAACAUCUUGAGAGUCAAAUAGCAGAAAGUCAUGCCAUUGAAUCUGCCAGAGAAGAUUCUUCAAGCCUAGUUGCUGAACUUCAAGAAAAGCUCCAGGAAGAAAAAGCUAAGUUUCUAGAACAGCUAGAAGAGCAAGAGAAGAGGAAGAAUGAAGAAAUGCAGAAUGUUCGAACAUCUUUGAUUGCUGAGCAACAGACCAACUUUAACACUGUUUUAACGAGAGAGAAAAUGAGAAAAGAAAACAUAAUCAAUGAUCUCAGCGAUAAGCUGAAAAGCACGAUGCAGCAGCAAGAGCGGGACAAAGAUCUGAUCGAGUCGCUGUCGGCGGACCGGGCGCGGUUGCUGGAGGAGAAGAAGCGGCUGGAGGAGGAGGUUGGCCGGCUACGGGGCGCUGGCCCGGUGCCCUCCCCGAGCGCGGUAGCCCCGGAGCUUUAUGGAGCCUGCGCCGCCGCGGAGCCCCCGGGAGAGGCGGAGAGGCCGCUGCUGCCUGAGGCCCCCGACGAGGGGAGGGCAGACCCAGCCUUGGAGACCAGCACCAUGUCCGUGCAAGAAAACGUCCAUAUGCUCUCUGAAGAAAAACAAAGGAUAAUGCUGCUGGAACGAACACUACAGUUGAAAGAAGAAGAAAACAAGCGGUUGAAUCAGAGACUGGUAAGGUUUUCUCGACAUUUAAAUGUUUGCAUUGUAUUUCAGUGAUGAAGAUCAGACGGUUGUGUGGUUUGAUUCAUUUUCUCCUGGUCAUUUUCGUCGAGCUCUGUUUGGUCAUUGAUGAAUUUUAAAAGCAGUCAGCAAAAUCCAGGGCCAAAUUCAUGGCAGAUGUAAGUUCCCAGUCUAGGGGUCGAAUUGGAGCUACAGCUGCCGACCUCCACCACAGCCACAGCAACCCAGGAUCUGAGCUGUGUGUGCCACCUACACCACAGCUUUUGGCAACACAAGAUCCUUAACCCACUGAGUGAUGCCAGGGAUCAAACCUGCAUCCUCAUGGAUCCUCAUUGGAUUCCUUUGCACUGUGGCACAACAAGAACUCCCUCUCUUGUUUUUAAAUACCCAUUGAGACCCUCCUAGUGUUGAGAGGGAAAUGAAAAAACUUCUUUGCACCGGAGUUGAACAUAACAAAGAGGAAUCUUAGCAGAGGAGUUUCUCUGUCCCUGAUUUGUGAGAUUAUAAUUGGGCCCACCCUGCUUGGGGGAUCAGCAUUGUUGCCAUCCUUUCUGGCCCCAGGACCAUGGGACAUGUGCCCUGUGUGUCAUGUGAUAGUGUGAAAACGGACUGCAGCCUGACUGAGGAGCGGGCACCCGGUUAGCCCAUCCGCCCGCCAUGGCCAUCGGGGACAAGGGGACGCGGCCACCUUCUUAUUCUAGUACUAUGUGAAAAACCUCAGUCUUUUCCUUAUAGUAUUUUUUAGGAUUAAGUAUGUAAUUAGAAAUAAAAUGAUUUUAUAUUCAGCUUUUAAUUCAGCCAAAUUUGAUUAAGAAAUAACAUAAGUAAAAGCAUGGGUUAAAUUUGUUGAAGGAAAGGAAUUGCAUUAAUGAACCAUGAAAGCUGGGCCACAGGCGUAAAUGUUGUCACACUGAGGGGUGUUUGCGGCCUGGGCCUCCAGUGAGCAGGCCGCUGCGCUGUCUCGGCCUCACCAGCCCUUCUCUUCCCAGAUGUCCCAGAGCCUGUCCUCCGUCUCCCCGCGGCACUCUGAGAAGAUCGCCAUCAGAGAUUUUCAGGUGGGCGACCUGGUCCUUAUCAUCCUGGACGAGCGCCACGACAACUACGUGCUCUUUACCGUGAGCCCCACCUUGUACUUCCUGCAUUCGGAGUCUCUGCCUGCCCUGGACCUCAAACCAGGUGAGGGGGCUUCAGGUGCGUCUAGAAGACCGUGGGUCCUUGGAAAAGUGAUGGAGAAGGAGUACUGUCAGGCCAAAAAGGCACAAAACAGAUUUAAAGUUCCUUUGGGGACAAAGUUUUACAGAGUGAAAGCUGUGUCGUGGAAUAAGAAAGUAUAAUUUAUGGAAGAAAUUGAGACAGUCUGUGACAUUUUUCUCUGAUUUGUCCAACAGUGCUCAUUCAUCACUCCAAAAACAAGGCCAUCUUUUUAUAUAAAAGUUAUCAUGACAAUAAUACUUCAUUGGUGUAUAUCAUUUACUUUUUACCUGGCUACAUUUUAGGAACAAUAAAUUCAUCAAAACCCUUGGCCGAAUUAAAAUGGUUUUGUUCUUGUUUUUCUACCCAAGUAACUCUAGAAAUGCGGACCAAACUAGUUCAUUUUCUCAAAGGGCACACCCUGUGCAUCGUGGCUUAUGAUGAGCCAUGUUAAUUGCCUGUUACAUAGACAGUAGCUUGAACUUAGAUAUUCAGUGUUAGUUCUUAUUACCAGCAUUUGUCCUUUUGUGAAAUCAAUAUCGGAAAACUUGCACUCUUUAACACAUUCUUUAUAAAAUGUAUAAAUUCUUCAAAACUGUCUAAAGAGGAGUGUUAUUGCAUGCAGAUAAUCAUAAUUUUGGGUUUGCCUCUGUAGAUUACUAAAGCAAAUUGUUUCAUUUAUUUUUUUAAAUGCCCUUUGAUGUUUCAAAACAAAAAGGAACUCUAAUUUGAUUGACUGACUUUAAGAUCAGCCAUAAUCAAUCUUCAAAAGCACUUUGAACAGAUGGUCCCUGGGCUCUGCAGGGGGGACUGUGCUGGUGAGGGUUUCCAGGGCAGCUCACGAGCCUUCCCAGUGCUUCGUGACUGUUUAGAAUGGUUAUAGUGAUGGGGUCGUAGGUCAUGAUUCAGUCUCAGAAAAACAUAUUCACUGUACAUUAACCAUUAGAGGUCAUCUGAAUAACAAACUGUUGUAUUGUAAAAGACAUGUAGAAUUUUAAAACAAUAAAGAUUUGAACCUGUAAAUGUGUGUGCCUUUUAAAGAAGACAUUUUUAAUAUAUUUGAUUGUUGGGAAGUGUGAAAAACUUGUUCUGUAUCAUAUCAGAAGAGAAACAUGUUUAUUACAAAAUGUUCUUUAACUAUAUACUGUAUAACAGGGUAAAACAGUGUUAUGUAGACUAGAGUUGUGUAAAUGCCAUCUUUAGGUAAAUUGCUAUGGAGCAAAGGUAUUUAAAUGGGGCAGUUGAGUUGGAUGAGACUUGUUUCAGGUUUGUUGCUAGAGAACAAUAAUAAAAUGAUUUUUUUUCCAGAAAAUAUUUAAUUUCUUCAUAAAAAUAAGUUAAAUAUUUUUUUAAAUGUGUAUAUCUAAUAGUACAGAAAAUGGAAUAAGCACCAUAGUGUAUAGAAAACUGAAUUUGACAACAUAUUAAUGAAUAAAUGAACAAAUGAUUUCA